rnacentral:rRNA from 1 species
UACGAAGGGUGCGAGCGUUAUUCGGAAUGACUGGGUGUAAAGAGCGUGGAGGCGGUUUGAUAAGUCAGCUGUUAAAGUGCCCGGCUUAACCGGGAACAUGCGGUUGAAACUGUCAGGCUAGAGUACGGGAGAGAAAGGUAGAAUUCUCGGAGUAGCGGUAAAAUGCGUAGAUCUCGAGAGGAAUACCGGUUGCGAAGGCGGCCUUUUGGCCCGUAACUGACGCUUGAGCGCGAAAGCGUGGGGAGCAAACAGG